rnacentral:rRNA from 1 species
CCUACGGGAGGCUGCAGUGGGGAAUAUUGCACAAUGGGGGAAACCCUGAUGCAGCAACGCCGCGUGAGCGAUGAAGGCCUUCGGGUCGUAAAGCUCUGUCCUAAGGGAAGAAUACUGACGGUACCUUAGGAGGAAGCCCCGGCUAACUACGUGCCAGCAGCCGCGGUAAUACGUAGGGGGCUAGCGUUAUCCGGAAUUACUGGGCGUAAAGGGUGCGUAGGCGGCCCUUCAAGUCAGAGGUGAAAGGCUACGGCUCAACCGUAGUAAGCCUUUGAAACUGUAGGGCUUGAGUGCAGGAGAGGAGGGGGAAAAUCCCAGUGUAGCGGUGAAAUGCGUAGAUUGUGGGAGGAACACCAGAGGCGAAGGCGGCUCUCUGGGCUGUAACGGACGCUGAGGCACGAAGGCGUGGGGAGCGAACGGGAUUAGAUACCCCGGUAGUC